AUGGAGGUGGCCGCGGGAGCAGUCGUAGGGGCAUUAGUCGGUAAGCUGAUCAAGCAUGCCAUAGCUACAGAGGAAAAGGUGGUGACCGGACGCGGGCAACCGGACCACCAAGCGCGAAAGCGGCCGGAGGAGAUGUCGCUCAACAGUUACGCGCUCCUUCAGGCGUACGUUUUGAUGGCGGUAACGGGGUUAGGCUACUUGGCGCUCACAUGGUCAACGGUAGUUCUCCUGGGCGGCUUCGUCACCUCGCUGGGGAAGAAGGAUUUUUGGUGCCUCACAAGCAUCAGCAUGGUACAGGCAGCCAGGUGA
rnacentral:rRNA from 1 species